GAUGAACGCUGGCGGCGUGCCUAAUACAUGCAAGUCGAGCGAACAGACGAUGAGCUUGCUCCUCUGACGUUAGCGGCGGACGGGUGAGUAACACGUGGAUAACCUACCUAUAAGACUGGGAUAACUUCGGGAAACCGGCGCUAAUCCCGGAUAAUAUAUUGAACCGCAUGGUUCAAUAGUGAAAGACGGUUUUGCUGUCACUUAUAGAUGGAUCGGCGCCGCAUUAGCUAGUUGGUAAGGUAACGGCUUACCAAGGCAACGAUGCGUAGCCGACCGGAGAGGGGGGUCGGCCACACUGGAGCGUGGACGCGGACCAGGCGCCUACGGGAGGGAGCAGUAGGCAAUCUUCCGCAAAGGGCGGGAGCCUGGCGGAGCAGCGCCGCGUGAGAGAUGAAGGUCUUCGGAUCGUAAAACUCUGUUAUUAGGGAAGAACAGAUGUGUAAGGAAAUAAGCACGUCGUGACGGUACCUAGUCAGAAAGCCACGGCUAACUACGUG
rnacentral:rRNA from 1 species